AGAGAAUUCAGCUUUAGAGGCAACACUCUUCAGUGGGUUACUCAUGCUUCAAGUUCUCCAGGAUUCCUUCUCUGACACCUACAGGACGUGUUCUGGACAGAAGUCUUGUGAAUCACAGUCAGCGGGUCAGGCCAGAGCUCCAUACAGCACUGGGAAUAUUGCCACAUGCAAACCCGGUGAAACUCUUGAGUCCAGCUUUUUGCCUCCAGGCUCGUCCAACUAAAAUCACAGUUUUGGCUCAAAACAAAAAAUCAUGCUACCAACCAACUUUGCCACUUGAAAUGAAAGUUGAAAAACAUCCUCAGAACAAAGUGAGUUUGAGUUUAAAAGACAAGAAGUCAUUCAGAGCAUAGUUCAAAAUCCAGCUCAGCCACCUGUAUUACCUCUGGUAAGUUAAUUAACCUCCCUGAGACUGUUUUUUUCAUUUAUAAAAUGGAGAUAGUAAUAUCUCACUGUGGUUGC